UGCUGAUACUCUGCAGGAGGAGGAGGUCUAAAGCCAAAGAACGUCCCGUGGAAACCGAGUAUGCUGUCACAGAGACCAACCGAGUGUACGAGGACAUCAGAGAGGACGGACAGAGACGGUCUCCUCCUGUAGAAAUCUCUUCAGGUUACUCUAGCGCCAAAUACUCCAAACCAAGCGCUGCUGAGACCAACGAUGACUACAGCGUUAUCACUGCAGCUAACCUUCAAAAUACAGCUGAAGAAGACUCCGGUAGACUCACCUACUCUGAGGUUCAUUUUACAAACCGG